UACUGCUCGUCUCAACCCUUCCAAAUUGCUCCCCAAAUCGAACCCUAAGCAAAUCGAAUCUCACCCCGAGGCCCCCUUCCCCUUCCUCGGCGGCGCCGCCGCCCAGCCACCUGACAUGAGCGCCCUAGCAACCUCCUCAUCCACCGGCGAGCACCCUUCACCGCUUCCUCCUUGACCUCUGCCACAUCGAGUGUCGGCUUCCUUCCCCGACCCAUGUCGCCGCUCCCAGACAACCUCCGCCGCGCCCCCAACGCUGCCUCCCGACACUUUCUCUCCGGGCAGCACCGCGGCCAGCUCCCCCGCCAUCGUCUACUUGCGCGCUUCCUCAAGCAGCGCCGACUCAUCCAGGAGCUCCUCCCGUCAGCAGCACCUCCUCCUCUAGGAGCCUCCUCUACGAACCAGUCCUCCACCAAAUUGGUACGUUCAUGCUUGCAGUGAAUACAUGAGGAGCUGAUGGUUUCUUCUAUCUAUUGGCAGUCUAUCUGUACAUUUACUUGGUGGGGAGUACUCUGUACUCAGCCGUAUGGUUUAUCUUUUGCUUAUGGAUCUGCAAAAACUGUUUGUUUGUUCUAUGAGCAGCGUGCAUCUUCUUUGUCCUCUCCACCAAGCAGUGUCGACUACGCCAUCUCCCCCCAGGUAGUGCCUUGUCUAUGUCCUCUUGUCUAUGUCCUUGGCCCCGAGCAGUGUUCAAAAUUCAGAGCUGAUAUGAUGUAUUGUAUGUUGUUUGCAUAUUGAUGAUCUGGUAAGCAUUACAAUGUUGGACAUGACCAAUUGCUUAACAGGAGAUCUCUGUCUAAGAAAUGCCUUCCUUAAAAAGCAUGAAUUGUAAAGCAUGUGCGAUGAAUAUAUUACAUUUCAAUUAUCGCAUGUGCGAUGAUCUUAUUUAGCAUUUCAUUUCUUAUAUGCUUCAUGCAAAUGAAACUGCAGUAAACAUACAAACUGAGAUUUUGCUUGCCCUGUGUAUGCAUGUCCUGAAUGUGCUUUACCUUUGUAUGCAUACAGUUACCGGAAGCUUUUACAUGUACUAGAACUGGCUUUUGCAUGCCCUGUGUAUUCUGAAGCUUAGUCUUUUGUUAUUGGGCAGUAAUUGAAACAGAGCUGUUGGUCUGCCUGCCAUAGAACCAUUUAUGAAGAUCAUUGGAGUUGCCUUCUCAUGUAUUCCUAUGCAUAGUCUAGUACAUAUUUCCGUGCGUAAAAAGUUGUUGGUCUUGCUGUAGAUGCACACUAAAAAAAAAGGGCAACCUGGUGCAUGUAGCUCCCGCUUGCGCAGGGUCCAGGGAAGGGUCCGACCACUUUGGGUCUAUAGUACGCAGCCUUUCCCUACAUUUCUGUAAGAGGCUGUUUCCAGGACUUGAACCCAUGACCUCAUGGUCACAAGGCAGCAGCUUUACCACUGCGCCACUGAAAGUUGAAAAUUAUGCUAGUAGAAAUAGGUGUUCUGGUAUAUCUGACUACUUGCUUUGGAAUAGUUAUUUCUUGAUAUUAUCUGAUCCCAUCUCAUGUAUAUUUCUAGAAAAAGCUUUAUGAACUGAGUUCACUACAACUUGAAGUCUUGUGCAUGGAAGGGAAUUGAGAUAUUUUCUCAUUCUGUACUAGUUAAAAUGUAUCUGUUGAUAUUCUACUCAUUUUGGUUCAUGCCGCUCUUAAUUCUUCUUGUAUGAGCUCUUAUAGUGUUGUAAGGUUGAAGGCUCAAGAUACUACACUUCAGUACACACAUGUAAUAUUAUUUGAAAUGUAAAGUUCUUAUCUGCAGUAGAGUUGUAUAUAGUAAACUUGGAAUGUCUUGAUUAAUUUUCUAUAUCUUUCAUUGCAAUGGUUACAGGUUCAUCUUUACUUGAAAUCUAAUUUGCAUGUUGGUUGGUGUUCUUCAAGAAUCAGGGUACUAAUUUGUGAUAUGAUUGGUGAAAGAGGUAUUUUGCACGAUUCAUUUAUAUCCUACAUGUCUUUUUUCUCUCUAUAUAUAGUAGCAUUAUUUGAAAAUGUCCUUGUAUUUCCUCUCAGAAGCUCACACCUGAAUAUCAUUAUAUAUGCUUGUGAAAAAGUUAUGUAUGUUCUUUUGAGUUAAGCCUACUUGCCUUUGUGUGCUUAUACAAAAAGAUAAGAUCCAGUGAUGUAAAAAAUUCAUACAGGUUGUGGAUGUCACUUCCUGUUUCUUGAACGGUGUCCCUAUUUUGUCCUAUGUACAGACAAAUUUGAUGAUUCUUCACUUUCUGGAAAGUAAACUUAAUACCAGAGGUAAUCAGACCAUGCCAUAUGGGUUUCAUCAUCUGUCCAGACCUUAAACUGUUGUCAUGCUUUCCAGGAAGGGUAACUUGAUGUGCUUAAUUCGUGCGCCCAAACUUGAAACUAUUGACAUUUGUUAGUUUCUUAUUAAAUUGAAUGUUCAUUUAAUGCCUUGAAGGGAAAUUUGUUGAGAAAAUCUCUUAAUUAUGUAGAUGUUUUUCUUAUGAAAAAUGGGGGUGGAGCCCUCUGUGAAUUCUUUGAGUAUCAUAAUAAAUGUAAUGGAGAUUAUUUUUUCUAACACAUGUACUUGUUAUUUGGUCACUUCCUGUCCAGGUUGAAAAUGUUCCUGCAAGACUGGUUAAGACACCUUGCUGUAACCAUAUGUGUUGAGCUCACACAGAAGACCUGACAAGCUUUACUCUUUGUGUUUGUUACAUUUUGUACUGCUCGGAUGUCUAGGAACUGAAAAUGCUAAAUUAUGAGGAAGUCUUCAGGUGUACUCAAUUAAUUGUAUACAUUGUAAAAUGUUUGAUGAUGAGAUUUUACAAUAUAUAUGUGAAGUGCA